rnacentral:rRNA from 1 species
AGAAUCAACGCUGGCUGCGUGCCUAACACAUGCAAGUCGAACGAGAAAGUGGAGCAAUCCAUGAGUAAAGUGGCGACCGGGUGAGUAACACGUGACUAACCUACCUUCAAGUGGGGGAUAACCUCGGGAAACCGGGGCUAAUACCGCAUAACAUCUUUGGAGUGGAAAUUCUGGAGAUCAAAGGAGCAAUUCGCUGGAAGAGGGGGUCGCGGCUGAUUAGCUAGUUGGCGGGGUAAUGGCCCACCAAGGCUUUGAUCGGUAGCCGGCCUGAGAGGGCGCACGGCCACACUGGAACUGAAACACGGUCCAGACUCCUACGGGAGGCAGCAGUGGGGAAUUUUGCGCAAUGGGGGAAACCCUGACGCAGCAACGCCGCGUGGAGGAUGAAGUCCCUUGGGACGUAAACUCCUUUCGACCGGGAAGAUGAUGACGGUACCGGUGGAAGAAGCCCCGGCUAACUUCGCGCCAGCAGCCGC